rfam:Ovis aries breed Texel chromosome 11, whole genome shotgun sequence.
UCCCUGGUGGCUCAGAUGGUAAAGCAUCUGCUUGCAAUACGGGAGACCCAGGUUCCAUCCCUGGGUUGGGAA